CUUUGUAUUCUAUCUACGUGUUGUACGCUUCGAUGACCACGCGACCGCUGCCGAACCUCGCCGACUUUUGCCGAACGAGCAACUGAAUUUUGGUGCUUCGUACAGGCUUUUCCAAUUUUCCGAUUAAUGAAAUAUUUACAGCUGUCAUUGCUCGCUCACGUAUUCUAGGUUCUAGGAAUAUCGUAUAUGUCUUUUGGAAACUAGAGAUGCCAGUUCUGUUCCAGUUUCUCUUAUUUUACAGUGACAAAUAUCAAGGUAUGAAACUCGGUCGAUGGUACGAAUUUUAAAGGUAAAUUCACGUCAUUGAAAUACUUGGAUUUAUUACUGGAAGAAACUUCGUGCUCAGUCGGACAAAUAAAGAAUAUGAACUUAUGUUGGAACAUAGUGCCAUCUACCAGAGUCAAUAACAGCUGCGAGUUUUUGAAAAACUGCCGCUUUGGAAUU